rnacentral:rRNA from 1 species
UACGAAGGGGGCUAGCGUUGCUCGGAAUCACUGGGCGUAAAGGGCGCGUAGGCGGGUCUUUAAGUCAGGGGUGAAAUGCCAGGGCUCAACCUUGGAACUGCCUUUGAUACUGGAGACCUUGAGUCCGGGAGAGGUGAGUGGAAUUGCGAGUGUAGAGGUGAAAUUCGUAGAUAUUCGCAAGAACACCAGUGGCGAAGGCGGCUCACUGGCCCGGAACUGACGCUGAGACGCGAAAGCGUGGGGAGCAAACAGG